UCAGGCUCAUAUCUCAGUACGGGCUGGUUUACCUUAAUUUUGGCUAUGGAUGCCUGCUAUGGAAUUCACGUCUAUGGGAUGAUAAAUGACACCUACUGCAAGUCUGAAGGAUUUCGAAAAGUUCCCUACCAUUAUUAUGA